rnacentral:lncRNA from 1 species
GCAUUAGGGUUUUGAAACCCUAAACUGCACUUUUUCCAUUUAGUCAAUAUUAGGGUUUUAAACUCUAAACUAAACUUUUCCCUUUAGUCAGCAUUAGGGUUUUGAAACCCUAAACUGCACUUUUUCCAUUUAGUCAGCAUUAGGGUUUUAAACCUUAAACUGAACUUUUCCCUUUAGUCAACAUUAGGGUUUUAAACCCUAAACUGAACUUUUUUCCUUUCAGUCAGCAUUAGGGUUUUAAACCCUAAACUGAACUUUUUCCAUUUAGUCAGCAUUAGGGUUUUAAACCUUAAACUAAACUCUUUCCUUUAGUCAGCAUUAGGGUUUUAAACCCUAAACUGAACUUUUUCUAUUUAGUCAGCAUUAGGGUUUUAAACCCUAAACUGAACUUUUUCCAUUUAGUCAGCAUUAGGGUUUUAAACCCUAAACUGAACUUUUUCCAUUCAGUCAGCAUUAGGGUUUUAAACCCUAAACUGAACUCUUUCCUUUAGUCAGCAUUAGGGUUUUAAACCCUAAACUGAACUUUUUCCAUUUAGUCAGCAUUAGGGUUUUAAACCCUAAACUGAACUUUUUCCAUUUAGUCAGCAUUAGGGUUUUUAAACCUUAAACUGAACUUUACCCUUUAGUCAACAUUAGGGUUUUAAACCCUAAACUGAACUUUUUCCAUUCAGCCAGCAUUAGGGUUUUAAACCCUAAACUGAGCUUUUACAUGCAGUCAGCAUUAGGGUUUUAAACCCUAAACUAAAUUUACCCUUUAGUCAGCAUUAGGGUUUUAAACCCUAAACUGAACUUUUUCCAUUCAGCCAGCAUUAGGGUUUUAAACCCUAAACUGAGCUUUUCCAUGCAGUCAGCAUUAGGGUUUUAAACCCUGAACUGAAUUUUCCCUUUAGUCAGCAUUAGGGUUUUAAACCCUAAACUGAACUUUUUCCAUUCAGCCAGCAUUAGGGUUUUAAACCUUAAACUGAGCUUUUCCAUGCAGUCAGCAUUAGGGUUUUAAACCCUAAACUGAACUUUUCCUUUUAGUCAGCAUUAUGGUUUUAAACCCUAAACUGAACUUUUUCCAUUCAGCCGCAUUAGGGUUUUAAACCCUAAACUGAACUUUUUCCAUGCAGUCAGCAUUAGGGUUUUAAACCCUAAACUGAACUUUUUCAUGCAGUCAGCAUUAGGGUUUUAAAACCCUAAAUUGAAUUUUUCCUUUAAUCAGCAUUAGGGUUUUAAACCCUAAACUGAACUUUUUCCAUUCAGUCAGCAUUAAGGUUUUAAACCCUAAACUUAACUUUUCCAUUCAGUCAGCAUUAGGGUUUUAAACCCUAAACUGAAUUUUCCUUUAGUCAGCAUUAGGUUUUAAACCCUAAACUGAACUUUUUCCAUUCAGCCAGCAUUAGGGUUUUAAACCCUAAACCGAGCUUUUCCAUGCAGUCAUCAUUAGGGUUUUAAACCCUAAACUGAAAUUUUUCCUUUAGUCAGCAUUAGGGUUUUAAACCCUAAACUAAACUUUUUCCAUUCAGUCAGCAUUAGGGUUUUAAACCCUAAACUGAACUUUUCCUUUCAGUCAGCAUUAGGGUUUAAAACACUAAACUGAAUUUUUCCUUUAGUCAGCAUUAGGGUUUUAAACCCUAAACUGAACUUUUUCCAUUCAGCCAGCAUUAGGGUUUUAUACCAUAAACUGAGCUUUUCCAUGCAGUCAGCAUUAGGGUUUUAAACCCUAAGCUGAACUUUUCCUUGCAAUCAGCAUUAGGGU